CACGUCGGCGAGAGCAGCAGCCCAAUGCCGUAGACAGUGGGCGCCGCAUCUUACCGCGCACUUCACCCACUCCUGCACCUGGAGCGCGCACCGUUGGUCCCAACAUGGAUCCGGAGGCACAGCGCAUCGUCAGCCCCGACGUGGCGACAUGGAUAUCAGCGAUAGCGAGUCUGGUGAGGGAGUCCAUAUGGUUCGAAGCGGAGGGGGUGGGAAUGUGCGCCUGUUUCUCUCCAGUGAGAGUCCGGAGUGGUUCACCCCACUGAGUAUCAUAAAGCUGGUGCGCGAGGUGUUCACUCCUGGCAGGAUCGACCUGGACCCAUGCUCGUCCGCGGCUGCUAACACACGUGUUGGGGCGACAGUGUAUUACGAUAUGGAAUCCGAUGGUCUGUUGGAGUGCAACGCGUGGAUGGGCAAUGUGUUUGUCAACCCGCCUUUUGGGGUGCAGGGUGGUGCAAGCUAUCAGAGCCUGUUUUUCCAGAGAUGCGCAACAGAGUACACGGCUGGUCACAUUCACCAAGCAGUACUGCUGCUGAAAGCCGCUGUGGGUUAUGCGUGGUUUGAUGCCAUACUACAAUGGCCUGUCUGUUUUCUGCGCCAACGUUUGGCGGGUAGCCAAUCCACACGGAAGUGUCGUGGUUUACAUGGGCCCAGACGUGCAACGUUUUGUGUCAGUGUUUGGUUGUAUGGGCGGAGUACCGGGGGCGACUUCAUGGGCCAUGCCCCGCCCAACGGAGAGCUCGAUGGAUUAAGGCAUAGAUUGCAUAUGGCGAACAUAUUCUUCUCGGCAGACAUCUGCAUUUUCAUUUGUUUUCAAUGUAGCUCGUGGUACUGAGUUUAGCGGUUUAUCAGAGAUUUGUCAUUGUUUCCACCCGAACCUAUUCAUGCAUACGAGUGUUGUGGGAUAAACUGGACGGACUGUCGAUAAAGUGUGGUGGGAAAACAGUGGGACCUCGGCAGCUGACUUGACUGGGUAAUGCAGUCGUGGCCCUGAGUGCUUGCCUCCGGUAGUAGUAGUAGUGCCAGAGUACGGUAACCAGGUGUGCAAGGUUUUCCACUCCAUGUCGUGGGAUCGAAUCUAAUACACACAUGAGGCACUUGUAAGCGGUCCUCUUGCAAAGUUUUUCUGUAAAUUCCUUAAAAGUCAUGUGCUUUUGGAUGCCAGCCCCGGCCAAUCCUGCCAACUUGACAGCCAAUUCGACACCCUGUCAGGCUAAUUCGAUACCCUGUCAGGCCAAUUUGACACCCCGAACAGGUCAAUNNNNNNNNNNNNNNNNNNNNNNNNNNNNNNNNNNNNNNNNNNNNNNNNNNCAGCGCCUCUACAGCCAGUUUCAGCACAGGCGCACACGUCGGCGAGAGCAGCAGCCCAACGCCGUAGACAGUGGGCGCCGCAUCUUACCGCGCACUUCACCCACUCCUGCACCUGGAGCGCGCACCGUUGGUCCCAACAUGGAUCCGGAGGCACAGCGCAUCGUCAGCCCCGACGUGGCGACAUGGAUAUCAGCGAUAGCGAGUCUGGUGAGGGAGUCCAUAUGGUUCGAAGCGGAGGGGGUGGGAAUGUGCGCCUGUUUCUCUCCAGUGAGAGUCCGGAGUGGUUCACCCCACUGAGUAUCAUAAAGCUGGUGCGCGAGGUGUUCACUCCUGGCAGGAUCGACCUGGACCCAUGCUCGUCCGCGGCUGCUAACACACGUGUUGGGGCGACAGUGUAUUACGAUAUGGAAUCCGAUGGUCUGUUGGAGUGCAACGCGUGGAUGGGCAAUGUGUUUGUCAACCCGCCUUUUGGGGUGCAGGGUGGUGCAAGCUAUCAGAGCCUGUUUUUCCAGAGAUGCGCAACAGAGUACACGGCUGGUCACAUUCACCAAGCAGUACUGCUGCUGAAAGCCGCUGUGGGUUAUGCGUGGUUUGAUGCCAUACUACAAUGGCCUGUCUGUUUUCUGCGCCAACGUUUGGCGGGUAGCCAAUCCACACGGAAGUGUCGUGGUUUACAUGGGCCCAGACGUGCAACGUUUUGUGUCAGUGUUUGGUUGUAUGGGCGGAGUACCGGGGGCGACUUCAUGGGCCAUGCCCCGCCCAACGGAGAGCUCGAUGGAUUAAGGCAUAGAUUGCAUAUGGCGAACAUAUUCUUCUCGGCAGACAUCUGCAUUUUCAUUUGUUUUCAAUGUAGCUCGUGGUACUGAGUUUAGCGGUUUAUCAGAGAUUUGUCAUUGUUUCCACCCGAACCUAUUCAUGCAUACGAGUGUUGUGGGAUAAACUGGACGGACUGUCGAUAAAGUGUGGUGGGAAAACAGUGGGACCUCGGCAGCUGACUUGACUGGGUAAUGCAGUCGUGGCCCUGAGUGCUUGCCUCCGGUAGUAGUAGUAGUGCCAGAGUACGGUAACCAGGUGUGCAAGGUUUUCCACUCCAUGUCGUGGGAUCGAAUCUAAUACACACAUGAGGCACUUGUAAGCGGUCCUCUUGCAAAGUUUUUCUGUAAAUUCCUUAAAAGUCAUGUGCUUUUGGAUGCCAGCCCCGGCCAAUCCUGCCAACUUGACAGCCAAUUCGACACCCUGUCAGGCUAAUUCGAUACCCUGUCAGGCCAAUUUGACACCCCGAACAGGUCAAUUCGAUACCCUGUCAGGCUAAUUCAAUACCCUGUUAGGCCAAUUCGGCACCCGGACAGGCCAAUUCGACACCCGGACAGGCCAAUUCAGGCGCAGCACAGCCCAAUUCCGAGGCUCCACAGCGCAAUUCGAAUACCUCCGGCGGGUCCGCCAGAACAAUUCCAGACCUCGGCAGACCAAUUCUUUCGUCAGGAAUAAAAUCCAGGCUAAUUCUGCGACAGAGCUCUUCCCUAAUUCCAGCCCGAAUCCUACCCUCCUGUGUGAGUGGUUGUUACAGUGGGCUCCAGACUCCCGAAGAGUAGAGCCAUCGGCCCAGCUGGCCGUGCACUGCAGUAGAAACAAAUAUACAAAUUAGACAGCUCUUUGUGUUCUGAGCGUUGUGUUCUU
rnacentral:lncRNA from 1 species